rnacentral:rRNA from 1 species
AACGAACGCUGGCGGCAGGCUUAACACAUGCAAGUCGAACGCCCCGCAGGGGGAGUGGCAGACGGGUGAGUAACGCGUGGGAACGUGCCCUUCGCUUCGGAAUAGCCCCGGGAAACUGGGAGUAAUACCGAAUACGCCGUAUUGGGAAAGAUUUAUCGGCGAAGGAUCGGCCCGCGUUAGAUUAGCUAGUUGGCGGUGUAAUGGACCACCAAGGCUACGAUCUAUAGCUGGUCUGAGAGGAUGAUCAGCCACACUGGGACUGAGACACGGCCCAGACUCCUACGGGAGGCAGCAGUGGGGAAUCUUGGACAAUGGGCGCAAGCCUGAUCCAGCCAUGCCGCGUGAGUGAAGAAGGCCUUAGGGUUGUAAAACUCUUUCGCCGGAGUAGAUAAUGACGGUAUCCGGAGAAGAAGCCCCGGCUAACUUCGUGCCAGCCGCCGCAGUAA